rnacentral:rRNA from 1 species
UACUAGAGUAGCACUCGCAUAUCAAUAAGGCGGAGGAAAAGAAACUAACAAGGAUUCCCUUAGUAACGGCGAGUGAAGCGGGAAGAGCUCAAGUUUGGAAUCUUCAAGGUUCUACCUUGACGAAUUGUAGUUUAUAGAAGUGUUUUCUGUUAGUAGAGUGGUAAAAGUUCUUUGGAAUAGGGCAUCAUAGAGGGUGAGAAUCCCGUAUUUGACCAUUACUUUCCAGCUGUGUGAUACACUUUCAAAGAGUCGGAUUGUUUGGGAAUGCAGUCCAAAAUGGGUGGUAAAUUUCAUCUAAAGCUAAAUAUUGGCGAGAGACCGAUAGCGAACAAGUACCGUGAGGGAAAGAUGAAAAGAACUUUGAAAAGAGAGUUAAACAGUACGUGAAAUUGUCAAAAGGGAAGCGUUUGACACCAGUGUUGUUUUUCCGAAAAUCAAUUACGAAUGUUUUGUUUUUGAGGAGUUAUGACUUCAUCGGCUUGCUCCUUUCUUUACGAAACUUUCUUAAUGCACUUUUCGGUUAACAAGUCAACAUCAAUUUCUUUUGUUGUAAAAGGGUAUGAGGAAGGUGGCUUUCUUUUCGGAGAAAGUGUUUACAGCCUUGUGCCUCUGCAAUCGGAGAGAUUGAGGUCUGCAGCGUAGAUCCUUCGGGGUUAGAUACAUUUGUGCUAAGUUAUAGCUUUUCAUAGACAACUUGUUGACUAUGUUUAGUCUUGUAGCUUACUCGCUUAUGCUAUUUUACCUACGCUUAGGAUGUUGAAGAUGUAGCACAUCAU